CCUGGCAGGGACUCGGCGAUUUCUGGGAUUUGGGUUGAUCCCUCUCUUAUGGCAGUCCCUUGACUUUAAGUCAGAAACCCUAAAGGGGUUCCACGACUUCAGCCUCUCGCCACUCUUUUCUUCUCUCGACCUAUCAUUUCAGUCUCUCUCUUUCUUCUCUGGCCUCUCGCCCUCUCUUUCUUCUCUUCGUCAAUCUUCUCAGUUUUCUCUUCGUCAUCGAGAAUUCGAGAUCGUCAAGGAGACUGCCAAGGACUGGAAGGGUCUUCAGUCCUCUCAGUUUUCUCAUCGUCUCUGGUCUCCGCCGCCGCUCCGGUCAUCUAGGCCCUCAAAGAGCUAGAUCGCGACCUCAAGGCCACUUCUGCAGAUCCAGAGCCUCUCUCUCAAGUACUCUCUAUCUCUAUAUCUGUAUAUAUCUAUACAUCUUUUUACCUCUGUUUGAUUCUAAUUGAUAUUAAUAGUUUUGUAAUUCGUAAAAAUUGAGAUGAAGGUGUUCGCUGCAGAUCCAGCUUUACUGCUGAAGACAUCAAGCAGCCCAGGUACGUUUUGCUUUCUAUGAUUAAUUUGCUUAUUGUGUGGUUACAUAUGGCCAAAGUUUGUGGCUUUAUAAUCGAUUACUGCUAUUGAUCUGUAAAUUCAUGCUCUGUAUUUCUAUUUUACCAUGUGGCUUUCGAAUUUUGAAUCUUAACAAUAGUGUUUUCUAUUAUGUAAUUUUGGGUAUCUGCUUUUGAUGAAUAUUUGGUUUAAAUUUUCUUCUGGGUUUGUUUUGAUUUUGUGCUGGUAUGAACUCAAUGGCAGGGAAUCUGGGGUUGUAAAGGUGUAGUCAAGAAAGAAAGCAGAGAUCUUUUUAAAACGUUCGGGUUCAGCUAAAGCAAAGGUAAAAAGCCAAACCUAGAUUCCAGUUUCUUCAAUUUCAGCUUCAAGAUAUGAUCUUUUAAGAUUUUGCUCUGUUUUGUUUUUUUUUAUUGAUCAUAUGGCAAUAACGAAGAGGACUUAGAGAGAAUUGCUCAACAGGAACAGGUUCUCCAGUUUACAAGGAAGUGUCUUCUGGGUGAUUAAGCAAAGAAGAAAAAGACAACUCUGUGUCUUUAUUUAUUUGGGAAUCUUUUCAAACACAUUUCUGUCUAAAUUAAUCAGGAAGUGCCUUCUCGGUGAUUGAACAAACAAAAAGGAGACAACUUUGUGUCUUUGUUUGUUUGGCUAUUGUUAAUCAGACAACAUUUGUGUCUAGGUUAAUCAGCUUAUGUUGUGUUUCUUGGACUGUUUGGAUUUGGUCAGAGGAUGUUUGUGAUAACCAAAUUAUAAUUUGAAAACAGGUAUACAGAAUUUGCUGGGGCAGUUCCUACUAGACCUGCACAGGACAGUCAGGACUUGGCAUUUUCAGUUUCAAGGUUUAUACAAAAUGGUGGUUCUUUUGCCAACUACUACAUGGGUUAUGCAUAUAUACUCACGCAGCCCGGAAUACCUUCCGUUUUCUAUGACCACUUCUAUGAUUCGGGUGAUUCAAUUCAUGAUCAGAUUGUGAAACUGGUACAGCAGUGUAGCUAGGUAGUUCCUUUAUUAACUUGUGUCUAGUAGAUUCUUCAUUCAUUAAGCAUUUGGAUUUGUCUGCAGAUUCAGAUUAGUAGAUAUGAGACAUUUUGAACUGAUCGAUGCUCAUGAUUAGGUUGUGUACAUAAGACAAUGGUGGAUUAAUAGAA